CAAAAUGAUCCAUUUUCCUUAUUAUUAGUAUAGCGUGUAAUGCGCCAACAUGUUCUGUAGCGCUGUACAAUAAAUGGAACAAUAGCAAUUAUUUACAAGAAGACAAAGUGGCCGUAAACAAUCAGACGUUGCUUACAGUUUAGGGUUCGUUUACUAAACUCCAGAUUUUAAUGAGCCAAGCCGCUGCUUGAGCCUAAAAUGUGCCAUUUGGGUUUCGUAAAAUAGCCCCGUUACAAAUAAAAACACCAACAUUUAGCCUAAAACAAACUGUCCAUGUCAGAUAUAAUCAAGACUCGGUUGUUUCAGCCUAAAUGUUGCCAUUCUUAUUAAAAUUUAUAACAGUUUGGAGUUCAGUAAAUGAGCCCCUUUGUGUCUCCCUCGUCCUUUUACUAAAAUGACAAUCCUGCACAUGUACCUUGCCGCGCUGGACUGCAUACACAAUAUAUAAUGUGGGACAUUGAUACAGAAUACCAAAGGGUUA